ensembl:lncRNA
CCCUAUAGUCACUUUCUGAGAUGCCAGUAGAUUGAAGAAAUAUUGGAGGACGAUGAAGGUCUUAACAAUGGUACACAAAUCAAUAAAGUUGACAUAGCAGUAUAUUUGUGCACAGUUUUUCUACUUAUGAGGUGAAUUUAUUACCAUGAAAUAUGUAUUCCGCCCACCCAAAGGACAUAUUGGAAUCAAAGAGAUAGUACUUGCACAACAUUUUAAAGUGUGAAUAUAUCUUCUCCAGUCAAUGAGAAUUUAUGUUAAAACAAAAAGAAAAAAGAAAUUUCAGGCUCUGUUAAUUAUGCAGAACAAAGGCAGUGCUCAAAUGUGCUCCAAUUCUUCUAGGACUUAUGCUAUCCUCCAGUGAUAAGGGCAGACUCCUUUAAAAAGUUGUAUUAAUUCUCUCAGAUCUCCAGGGUGCUAUCUAGCAAGUAAAAAUCUUUUGUACCAGAUACUUCUCUCUGCUUUUCACACUAGUGGGAGCAACUGGAAUAAAACUGACAACAUCAGGGUAACUCUCUGCAUUCCCCGAAACCUGUUUUUUGCCUUCACAUUCUUAUAGCUAUUUUUAGCUGUUUGUGUGGACAAGAGCAGUUCUUCAAUCAUCAUGUUGGAAACAGCAGGCUUCAUGCCUUGGCUUUGCAGGCAGCUUGUUAGGGGCACUACCGGAGAUCAGAGUCCAGAAUAAAGCAGGAUCUUAUUUACAGUUUAAAUUAAUGAUCAUCCAUUGGCUGUUUCCCUGCAAGCCUGCUGUAAAUUACAGCAGCUUUUCUUGGCUAGGCCUGUUACAGUAAAAACUGUAAUCUCAACAUACAUCAGUGUAAGAAAUCUUGACUAAGAGAUAGAAAGAGGGGUCCUAGGUAUUAGCCUAGAUCGUGCAUACUCUCUUUUAAAGGAGACCUGCAUCUGGCCGCUGAUAUAUGAGGUUGGUCCAAAAGAAAAGGCUGAGUGGUCCUAGUGCCAGAGGAAAGGCAGGCUGGCUGUCACCAUGUCUCAGAGGGAGAACAGUUUCCCCCACCCCAUUCAUGAUAAAUCCCAAGGCUUGUUUGUGUCAGCAGAGGUUUAUUGGUCACCUACAGUCUGCUAUAAGAAAAGAUGAUUUAACCUGUACCGGAAAGGAACAGCUGGGAUGCAGAAGGUGAUGGGAAGAACUAAUACAAAUGUAGCAAAGAAAAAAACAAAAAAAAAGUUGGUUGGGCACGGUGACUCACGCCGGUAAUCCCAGCACUUUGGAAGGCUGAGGCAGGAGGAUCACGAGGGCAGGAGAUUGAGACCAUACUGGCUAACACGGUGAAACCCCAUCUCUACUAAAAAUACAAAAAAGUGUGGUGGUGGGCGCCUGUAGUCCCAGCUACUCAGGAAGCUGAGGCAGGAGAAUGGCGUAAACCUGGGACGCAGAGCUUGCAGUGAGCUGAGAUCGCGCCCCUGCACACCAGCCUGGGCGACAGAGUGAGGCUCCGUCUCAAAAAAAAAAAAAAAAAUUGAAAUCUCUGUUUUAUUCUCAAAUUCUCUCUGAGUUGACAUGUAUUCUGCCUAAAAAGAAAACUUCUAUAGACUCUGUGUGUCUUUAUCAGCCAUACCUUUCCCAUCACCGCCAACCAACCUGAGCUGUUCUCCUUUCACAAGGGAUCGUGUAACAUCUUCAAGGAUUAAAGAAUAUAAAACCACUAGUAGAAUUCACUAGGGAAUGAAAGGAAAAAAA